AUUCAGCUGACCAGUCUCGAAUAAAACGCAACGCGUGUCCUGGAU
rfam:Schistosoma margrebowiei strain Zambia genome assembly, scaffold: SMRZ_scaffold0000346